AGAACAAAAGCCAUGACGUUCAUGUUGGUGUUCCAGACAAAAGUGUUUAAUUAAAAUUCUUUUGAAUUGGAACACCAACAUGGCUGCUGUGACGUCAUGUGCAAACGCUCUUUAAUAAUUAGACAUUGUAGUAUGUAAUUAUUUUAUUCAUAACAUUGUUAUUGUGAGGGAUUCAACUGCCUAGAAAAUACAAGCAGGACGUCGACGUUUCGAGCGAAAAGUCCUUUGUCGGGCUUUCGCCUCGAAACGUCGAAGUUCUGUUUAUAUUUUCAGUCGAGUAGAAAACUGUGGAUUAUGAGGGCUUCAACUAAAUGGCACAGACCGUUUGAGAGUAUAUCACAGAAGAACUCUGGUGACAACGAUUGUGAACCUCAACUGAUUCUCACCCAUAAUCUCUGCCAAUGAAUUUAAUGAAAUGGCAAAUACAUUGCCAUAUAUAAUAUAAUUAUAUUACGUACUUUAAUUGAUUAUUGUUGUUUAUGAAGGCCCGAUUCCACCAGCGCUUUCCUCGCCGAAAGGAAAACUGAAACUUUUGUGCGAAAUGAAAAUUCAAUAGACUCUCUCAUAUUUCCAGCGAAGAAUUUCGCCGUCGUGGAAUCCGCUCUUUAGCUUUAGCAGCUAGUUUUAAUUAUGUAUGGCCGACACCAAUCAUGCGCACAGAAAUGCUAUAUAUAUUAGGCAUGUCCCGAUUGUGCUCGACAACUUUUGAGCAACGUUUUACGUUUAGAGCAACUUUUUCGGUUAGAGCAACUUCAAGCAACU
rnacentral:lncRNA from 1 species